rnacentral:rRNA from 1 species
UACGUAGGGGGCAAGCGUUGUCCGGAAUCAUUGGGCGUAAAGCGCGCGUAGGCGGCCCGGUAAGUCCGUUGUGAAAGUCAAAGGCUCAACCUUUGAACGCCGAUGGAUACUGCCGGGCUAGAGUCCGGAAGAGGCGAGUGGAAUUCCUGGUGUAGCGGUGGAAUGCGCAGAUAUCAGGAGGAACACCGGUGGCGAAGGCGGUUCUCUGGGCAUUACCUGACGCUGAGGAGCGAAAGCAUGGGGGAGCGAACAGG